rnacentral:rRNA from 1 species
GACGAACGCUGGCGGCGUGCUUAACACAUGCAAGUCGAACGGAAAGGCCCUGCUUGCAGGGUGCUCGAGUGGCGAACGGGUGAGUAACACGUGGGUGAUCUGCCCCUUACUUUGGGAUAAGCCUGGGAAACUGGGUCUAAUACUGGAUAGGACCAUGCUGUAGGUGGUGUGGUGGAAAGAUUAGUUUCGGUCAGGGAUGAGCUCGCGGCCUAUCAGCUUGUUGGUGGGGUAAUGGCCUACCAAGGCGUCGACGGGUAGCCGGCCUGAGAGGGUGGACGGCCACAUUGGGACUGAGAUACGGCCCAGACUCCUACGGGAGGCAGCAGUGGGGAGUAUUGCACAAUGGGCGCAAGCCUGAUGCAGCGACGCCGCGUGGGGGAUGACGGCCUUCGGGUUGUAAACUCCUUUCAGCCAUGACGAAGCCCUUGUGGUGACGGUAGUGGUAGAAGAAGCACCGGCUAACUACGAG